AGUAAAAUAAGCUAAUACAAGCUAUCGGGCCCAUGCCCCGGAAAUGAAGAAUAACCUCCUUCUUUUACUA
rnacentral:tRNA from 1 species